ACCGGGAGAUAGCUGGUUCUCCCCGAAAGCUAUUUAGGUAGCGCCUCGUGAACUCAUCUUCGGGGGUAGAGCACUGUUUCGGCUAGGGGGUCAUCCCGACUUACCAACCCGAUGCAAACUACGAAUACCGAAGAAUGUUAUCACGGGAGACACACGGCGGGUGCUAACGUCCGUCGUGAAGAGGGAAACAACCCAGACCGCCAGCUAAGGUCCCAAAGUCAUGGUUAAGUGGGAAACGAUGUGGGAAGGCACAGACAGCCAGGAUGUUGGCUUAGAAGCAGCCAUCAUUUAAAGAAAGCGUAAUAGCUCACUGGUCGAGUCGGCCUGCGCGGAAGAUGUAACGGGGCUAAACCAUGCACCGAAGCUGCGGCAGCGACACUAUGUGUUGUUGGGUAGGGGAGCGUUCUGUAAGCCUGCGAAGGUGUGCUGUGAGGCAUGCUGGAGGUAUCAGAAGUGCGAAUGCUGACAUAAGUAACGAUAAAGCGGGUGAAAAGCCCGCUCGCCGGAAGACCAAGGGUUCCUGUCCAACGUUAAUCGGGGCAGGGUGAGUCGACCCCUAAGGCGAGGCCGAAAGGCGUAGUCGAUGGGAAACAGGUUAAUAUUCCUGUACUUGGUGUUACUGCGAAG
rnacentral:rRNA from 1 species